GGCUUACCAUGCAGUCGAGGGGCAGCAUUUCAGUUUGCUUGCNAACUGGAAGAUGGCGACCGGCGCACGGGUGAGUAACACGCUAUCCAACCUGCCGAUAACUCGGGGAUAGCCUUUCGAAAGAAAGAUUAAUACCCGAUGGUAUAAUCAGACCGCAUGGUCUUGUUAUUAAAGAAUUUCGGUUAUCGAUGGGGAUGCGUUCCAUUAGGCAGUUGGUGAGGUAACGGCUCACCAAACCUUCGAUGGAUAGGGGUUCUGAGAGGAAGGUCCCCCACAUUGGAACUGAGACACGGUCCAAACUCNUACGGGAGGCAGCAGUGAGGAAUAUUGGUCAAUGGGCGCAGGCCUGAACCAGCCAAGUAGCGUGAAGGAUGACUGCCCUAUGGGUUGUAAACUUCUUUUAUAUGGGAAUAAAGUUUUCCACGUGUGGAAUUUUGUAUGUACCAUAUGAAUAAGGAUCGGCUAACUCCGUGCCAGCAGCCGCGGUAAUACGGAGGAUCCGAGCGUUAUCCGGAUUUAUUGGGUUUAAAGGGAGCGUAGGUGGACAGUUAAGUCAGUUGUGAAAGUUUGCGGCUCAACCGUAAAAUUGCAGUUGAUACUGGCUGUCUUGAGUACAGUAGAGGUGGGCGGAAUUCGUGGUGUAGCGGUGAAAUGCUUAGAUAUCACGAAGAACUCCGAUUGCGAAGGCAGCUCACUGGACUGCAACUGACACUGAUGCUCGAAAGUGUGGGUAUCAAACAGGAUUAGAUACCCUGGUAGUCCACACAGUAAACGAUGAAUACUCGCUGUUUGCGAUAUACAGUAAGCGGCCAAGCGAAAGCAUUAAGUAUUCCACCUGGGGAGUACGCCGGCAACGGUGAAACUCAAAGGAAUUGACGGGGGCCCGCACAAGCGGAGGAACAUGUGGUUUAAUUCGAUGAUACGCGAGGAACCUUACCCGGGCUUAAAUUGCAUUUGAAUAUAUUGGAAACAGUAUAGCCGUAAGGCAAAUGUGAAGGUGCUGCAUGGUUGUCGUCAGCUCGUGCCGUGAGGUGUCGGCUUAAGUGCCAUAACGAGCGCAACCCUUAUCUUUAGUUACUAACAGGUCAUGCUGAGGACUCUAGAGAGACUGCCGUCGUAAGAUGUGAGGAAGGUGGGGAUGACGUCAAAUCAGCACGGCCCUUACGUCCGGGGCUACACACGUGUUACAAUGGGGGGUACAGAAGGCAGCUACCUGGUGACAGGAUGCUAAUCCCAAAAGCCUCUCUCAGUUCGGAUCGAAGUCUGCAACCCGACUUCGUGAAGCUGGAUUCGCUAGUAAUCGCGCAUCAGCCAUGGCGCGGUGAAUACGUUCCCGGGCCUUGUACACACCGCCCGUCAAGCCAUGAAAGCCGGGGGUACCUGAAGUACGUAACCGCAAGGAGCUCCCUAGGGAAAAC
rnacentral:rRNA from 1 species